UUACGGCCACAUCACGUUGAAACACCGUUUUCCGUACGAUCACCGAAGUUAAGCAACGUCGAGCCUGGCCAGUACCUAGAUGGGGAACUGCUUGGGAAUAACGGGUGG